CCGUCGACUUUCUAAUCGUGAGGGUUCAAGUCCCUCUAUCCCCA
rnacentral:tRNA from 1 species